rnacentral:rRNA from 1 species
GACGUAGGGCGCGAGCGUGUCCGGAUUUAUUGGGCGUAAAGAGCUCGUAGGCGGCUUGUCGCGUCGAAUGUGAAAACUCGGGGCUCAACUCCGAGCUUGCAUUCGAUACGGGCAGGCUAGAGUUCGGUAGGGGAGACUGGAAUUCCUGGUGUAGCGGUGAAAUGCGCAGAUAUCAGGAGGAACACCGGUGGCGAAGGCGGGUCUCUGGGCCGAUAUUGACGCUGAGGAGCGAAAGCGUGGGGAGCGAACAGG